rnacentral:rRNA from 1 species
UGGGGAAUCUUGCACAAUGGGGGAAACCCUGAUGCAGCGACGCCGCGUGAGCGAUGAAGCCCUUCGGGGUGUAAAGCUCUUUCGGCGGGAACGAUGAUGACGGUACCCGCAGAAGAAGCUGCGGCUAACUACGUGCCAGCAGCCGCGGUAAUACGUAGGCAGCAAGCGUUGUUCGGAGUUACUGGGCGUAAAGAGUGUGUAGGCGGUUCGCCAAGUCCGGUGUGAAAUCUCCCGGCUUAACUGGGAGGGUGCGCCGGAUACUGGCGGGCUGGAGUGCGGGAGAGGAGAGCGGAAUUCCUGGUGUAGCGGUGAAAUGCGUAGAUAUCAGGAGGAACACCUGCGGUGUAGACAGCUCUCUGGACCGCUACUGACGCUGAGACACGAAAGCGUGGGGAGCAAACAGG